rnacentral:lncRNA from 1 species
AUUCUCAGUUUGACUUUGCCACCUAACUUCCUGCUCAGCUACCAUCCUGUCAGCUUUUUGUUAACCAAUGAGAGUAAUACGUAUUCGUAGUGGAGAAAAGCACUGUUCCCCAGGAGUGAGAAGCUGGGAGAAGGGAAACCCAUGAGCUGGAGAAGUUUGGGGUAGGGGGCCGGUGAGAAGAACGAGAAUACCAGCAUGGACCCUGUGACAGACAGGGUUUCUCUGUGUAGCUUUGGAGCCCAUCCUGGCACUCGCCCUGGAGACCAGGGUGGCCUAGAACUGACAGAGAUCAGCCUGUGUCUGCCUCCCAAGUGCUGGAAUGAAAGACACGUGCCACCACCACCCAGCAAAACAAGAAAGCUAGCUACUACUACUGACAAAGGGCCUUGUCUGAUGUCAGAAGAGCCUGCUCAGUCUGCAAACUCAACACAACCUGGAAGUGCAGGGAAAUAUGCCGAUUGGAGUUGAUGUGUAAAUUCCCAGCCUCCUGUGGGCAUUUCUGGGAUGGACUAGAGACAUCUGUAGAAUUCCGAAACUGUGCAAAAUACAUUGCAUGUAUUGAGUUCCUGGGAGAGACCCAUGGCUUUCAUAAGAUCUUCAAAGAAAUCUCCUUCCCAAGAAACAGGUUGCUCACUGGUUAUUUCUGG